GACGAACGCUGGCGGCGUGCUUAACACAUGCAAGUCGAACGGAAAGGCCCUGCUUGCAGGGUACUCGAGUGGCGAACGGGUGAGUAACACGUGGGUGAUCUGCCCUGCACUUCGGGAUAAGCCUGGGAAACUGGGUCUAAUACCGGAUAGGAGCCAUUUUUAGUGUGAUGGUUGGAAAGUUUUUUCGGUGUAGGAUGAGCUCGCGGCCUAUCAGCUUGUUGGUGGGGUAAUGGCCUACCAAGGCGGCGACGGGUAGCCGGCCUGAGAGGGUGGACGGCCGCAUUGGGCCUGAGAUACGGCCCAGACUCCUAAGGGAGGCAGAAGUGGGGAAUAUUGCACAAUGGGCGCAAGCCUGAUGCAGCGACGCCGCGUGGGGGAUGACGGCCUUCGGGUUGUAAACUCCUUUCGCUAGGGACGAAGCUUUUUGUGACGGUACCUAGAUAAGAAGCACCGGCUAACUACGUG
rnacentral:rRNA from 1 species